GACGAACGCUGGCGGCGUGCUUAACACAUGCAAGUCGAACGGAAAGGCCCUGCUUGCAGGGUACUCGAGUGGCGAACGGGUGAGUAACACGUGGGUGAUCUGCCCUGCACUUCGGGAUAAGCCCGGGAAACUGGGUGUAAUACCGGAUAGGAGCCAUUUUGAGUGGGAUGGUUGGAAAGUUUUUUCGGUGUAGGAUGAGCUCGCGGCCUAUCAGCUUGUUGGUGGGGUAAUGGCCUACCAAGGCGGCGACGGGUAGCCGGCCUGGGUGGGUGGACGGCCACAUUGGGACUGAGAUACGGCCCAGACUCCUACGGGAGGCAGCAGUGGGGAAUAUUGCACAAUGGGCGCAAGCCUGAUGCAGCGACGCCGCGUGGGGGAUGACGGCCUUCGGGUUGUAAACUCCUUUCGCUAGGGACGAAGCUUUUUGUGACGGUACCUAGAUAAGAAGCACCGGCUAACUACGUG
rnacentral:rRNA from 1 species